CCCCGGCUCUCCCAUCCCCCACACAGACAGCCCCUACUCCAUCACAGACAGGCCCUGCCCCACAGAACUUGCCAUCUAAGAAGCUGAGACAGACGAGGGGCAGGAAAAGGAAGGUGCUGUUAUCCCCACUGCACCGCUGGAGACGGGAGCACAGAGAUAGUAAGUGAUUUGCCUAAGGUCCCUCGAGGUGACUCCGUAGCAGAUAUGGUGAAAGAACCCAGCUCACCUGUGCCGUAACCGCAAGACCUUCCUGGCGCGUGCAGUGUGAGUUCUGCAUUGGAUCCAAAACUGGAAAAGGCCCGUUUCGUGGCUCAGGUUUGGCUUUCCAGAGAAAAGCUGGUCUCGUAAGAUCUCCACCAUCAAACCCAACCCCAGCCUAACCCUAAUCCAGAUCCACCCCCACCUCCUUGGCCCAUUCACAUGGUUCAGGUGCUGUGAGUGGUCAAGUGACUUCUGCCCACUCAGAUGAGCACUGAAGGGGCUUGGCAGAUUAACAGCCCUGUUCGGAGAAUCGCUGCAGAACAGGGGUCUCAGGGAGUGGCUGGUACAUUCUCUGGUCUGACUUUUGGGGUGUGUGGGCAGAUUUCCUUGCCUUAAACAUUGUUGGGGAAUCCCCUUCCCAAAGAGCAGCACUCUGCCAAGACCCUCUCUCCCUCCUUAAAUACCCCAGCAGUGUUAGCCUGGGUGCUUUAUUUCAUGGGGGUCAGAGGGCUGGAUUACGUGAGGCUUCAUGGGAGAACACGGGUCACCAGCCGCUUUGCUGUGAGAAGUAAAAUUAAUAGUGAGGAAAAAACAGUUUUGCCUGCACAGAUUCAAAACAGGAAAUGUCACUAACGCAAUCCACUUCCUGCUGCAUCAGGGGAUGGUCUGAUCCCUAACUCCGAAUUCUCAAUAUCUCUUGAGCCAAUGGGGAGCUGGGAAAGGCUGCGGUAUUGAAGGGUCUCCCCACUGCCAUCAUGAUGGCUUUCUUGACCCAUACGUCUGCAUUGUCUCGGCCAUGCCUGGUGCUGCUGCUUCUCCUGGAAAUCCCCAGGACGGCUACAGGUGCCAAACAGGAGGAACCCAAUUGAUUUAGAUGAAAACUGGAAGAGCAGAAGGUGGAAAUGGGGGACACAUGGAGCCCCUUGUCCCUGGUUAGCUCGCACAUUGGCUUCAGCUCGUUCCACCCAGGCUGCGAGUGGGCACCGACCCACCAGUGCCCCUCGCACUGAAUGAGUCUGUGACGUUCCCCUGCCGCGCGGAGGGGUUUUACCCGAAGAACGUGAGUCUCACCAGGCUGGAGAACGGAAAUGAGACGGGUCUAGGAAAGGCCUCCCCCCCCAGCUGAGAAU